UCGUCGCAGCGUAAAAUAUGUCACUUCCUGUUGCCAAUAGGUGGCGCUAUGACUAUAACUGAAUAUGGGCAUGUCAAUCUGUUCAGCUUCGGAGUCUCAUCAAACAUGUGAAGUUUGGGGCAGAUUGGUCAUUGUAUGUCUGAGUUAUAGCAACUUCAUUUUUCAUGGCGAAUCAUCGAAAUUCGCCAGGCCGCCACGGACACGCCCUUCAACGAAAACUCAAGAUCUUCGCAAUUUAACAUCGCAAAGGACUUUAGAUUAGGCAUACCAAAUUUGGUGUUGAUUUGAAGAACUCUCUAGGAGGAGUUCGUUAAAAUACAACACAUGGAAAUGACCAAAAUUACACAAAAAAUGCUCAUAAUAUUAAAAAUAACCGACUUCCUGUUGGGUUUAGAAUUUCGCUCCAAGAGUCUUUUUUGUAGGUAUUGGUGUGUUACAUAUGUGUGCCAAUUUUCGUGCAUGUACGUGAAACAUAGCUGGAAGGCUGUUGAUUUUCUUGGUAUAGGUGGCGCUGUCGAGCCAUUUUGCCACACCCUCUUCUGAAUCCUAUAUCAGACGAAAAUUUUCACCAGGUUUGACGCGUGUGCAAAGUUUCAUGACUUUUUGAGCAUGUUAAAGCCCUCAAAAAUGUGAUUCAUUCGGGAGAAGAAGAAGAAGAAGAAGAAGAAGAAUAAUAAAUAUAGCUGCAAGCAGCGAUGGCGGGCUCAAGCCACCAGUGCCAUCGCCACCCCGGUGGCAUCAGGUAAACUGUGCCCAGUGGGCACAUGCAUUCACAAUAUCCCUCUGGCAGUGAGGUUUUAAAGGAUAUGGCAGUUAAAGGGUUAAUCCGAAUCAUCUAGACUUUAAAAUCACAUUCACAGAACAAUAUAUAUGUAUAACUUUAGUAACACUUUACAAUAAGAUUCCAUUCAUAAACAUUAUGUUAACAUGAACAAUAUUUAUAUAGCAUUCAUUCACGUCAGUUAAUAUUCCAAACUUAAACAUUAAAACAUUGUUUUAUUGUGAUUUUUUUCCAAGCACAUUUUACCAAUUCCUAACCAUAUAAAUCUUAAUAACUACCAUUAUUUUUUAUUUAAUCAUUUAUGAGUGCUAUACAAUAGUCCAGGAAAGCUGGAAGAGAAAAACUCCUUAUAUUCAUGUGUGCAGAAUUAUUAGGCAUGUUUUCUUUUACAGAUGAAAUGCGCUAAAAUAGACUUUUAACUCAAACUGUAAGGUCGAAAAUUAUGAAAUACCCAUGAGAAAUAUCAAACACAAAUGCAAUACAGAAAUGGAUAAGUUAAGACUUGACCAUUGUACAAAAAAUACUGACUGGGUCAUGAGGUCAGAAAAGAAGAAGAAAAAAGCAGGUCAAGAAGAACUGACAAAAAGAAUUGCAAAAUAAUUAGUAAUUAAUGUGAAGAUUAAUUUUUAGUCAAUUCUGCAAGACAGACUUUUCAGGAAAGGAGGUGGAAUAAAAAUGAGCUCCUAAAUCUUAAUCCUGGAUUCUGGAAGAUAUAUUCCUCAAACCAUCGAACAAGAGGAGGUGGUGCUGGUCCUUCACGAGUCACUCUAAUCUGUUCAUAAAGCCUAUAUAUAAAGACUUAAUAUAUAGUAUUUCACAAUACUUCAUGGUAUUCUAAUUAAAUCAUUUUUUGGAAUCUUAAGUCUCUCAGAGCCUGACACCGAGUAAUUCUGGAGACUCCAGGAAAGUGGCAGUUCUGUAAAAUGUUGGCGCUGGAGACUAAAUGCACCCUGAUAGUUUCACACCUAAUUCACUUAACACACACACACACACAUUACCCACAGUGACAGUGGGACUGAGUGACAUCAGAUGUAUGAUAGUUUUUUUUUAAUUUCUAUCAUCCAUACAGUGUUGUAUAGUCAUGAAACUAUGGUCAUGAGACCAGUCAUUCUGAGGAAAUAUGCCUCAGAAUGACUGGUCUUCUAUGUGUACAUUUUUUUUUUUUAAGUGUUUAGAAGCUGCACUUUAAAAAAAUAAAAAGACAUUUACUGGUUCCUUUUUUACUAUUAUUUCAAAAAAUCAUCACGGCAAAACCAUUCAAGCUAUCCAAAAUUCAUUCACACCAGGGGCGAUUCUAAGAUUUUGAUUUUAGGGGGGCUCAGCCCCCAAUAAGGGUAUGAUUAAAAAAUAUUAUUUGACUAUUAGGGUAGGGUUGUAUACUACUAACCUUAUUGCAAUCCACUAUUCCAUUGUAUUCCCUGUAUUUCAUAUAUGGGAGUAGGAGUACUGACUGAGCCAUAUAUAACACUGUAAAAAAAACUAAUACAGUUUUUUAGAUGUGACCAGUCACUGGAAAAUUUUGAAUUGGGAAUGUAGAUUUAUUUUAUUUUUUUACAAUAAAGACUAACUGAUUCAGUAUUAGGACAUUCAUGUUUAUCCUUUGAUGAUACCACUGCUUUUUCUUAUGAAAUGUACGUGGAAAUCGGCAGAAUAUUAAAACAACAUAAGGGUUCAAUGACUGCAAUGAAUCUUGGGAACACAGUGGUAUUGUGUGUGUGUGUGUGUGAGGCUGUCUGUUCUAUUCUCACCUGACUGUUGCUCAUUUGCAGACCUACUCCUGCACAACAAAAAAAUGUUGUAUAUCCAUCUACAAUGAAAUAUAAAUUAUUAUAUUUUUUUAUUAUUAUUAUUAUUAUUAUUAUACAUUUUUAGCUUUUUAGCCUUUAUAAUCAACAAUACGGUUGGUUAUACAUCAAGUCAGCCCCUGAAAAUGUAUUUCAUUUCAAAUCAUUUAACUAACCAGCUAAUAUUCAUUAAGAAUAUAGACAAAACAUGUAUUAAUGUAAUUGUCUAUUGGCAAUAUGUUUAAUCUGUUCUAUAUUUAUUUCAAUUUAUUAAAAAUAACACAAUUAUCAAUUUGCCACUUCUAUAACUCAAUUACUUAAAAAAAAAAAAAAAUCACAGAUCCCUUUACUCUUACUCUAAUAUAUGUAUCAUGAUACACUAAUGAUUCAUUAUUACUUAAUACAAAAUUAUAUUUAAUAAUAGAAAACAAAAUAUCUCCACAUGAUGUUUCUCUCUCUGUGCCAUUUAGUGCUUUCAGACAAUGAUGUGUGUCGUUAAUAAUUUAUUUUGCAUGGCUGCAUAAUGUAAUGCCGAAAUACACAAUAAUAUGUUUUCAAUUUUAAAAAGUAAAUUAAAAUAAAUCAUGAUCGUUUUCUAAAGUAUGUUUUCAUGGGUGUUAAUCGCUUCAUUUUUGUUGGAAGAAAAAACAACUGUCACACUGUGAUAAAGGCUGAAGGUGAACGCAGCGAAGACGUACUGGUAUUGGAUGCGAGAACACACACACGCACACACACACACACGCACGCACACACACACCUUGUACUCUCUGAUGUUCGCUCUGCUCGGCGCCACUGUGGAUUGAAAAACGCGCUGAAUCCAUGCAGACUCAGAUCAGGGGAGGAGCCGGAACUUGAUGCAGCUUGCCACCGUUUCAAAUGAGUUUUUAAAGGGGACUGAAGCGAUCACUAAUUAAUUAAUCAAAUAAUUUUUUAGGGGGGCUGGGCAUAAGUUUAGGGGGGCUGAAGCCCCCCUAAAAAGGGCCUAGCGACGCCCCUGAUUCACACCUAUUCUGUAAGAUUAAUUCUUUAAACAGUGGUAAAAGAGGAUGUGGUGCUGAACCUUCAAGAGUCACUCAAAACGUUAUCUGUCCAUAAAGCCUAUAAAGAAUUAUUCUUAAUAUACAGUUCAAAAUACUUCAGCUUGUUAUUCUAAUUAAGUGAGGGUCAUUUUAUCAGUAAAAUAUAUACAAUUCAUUUUUUUUGAAAGAUUUCUAUGAAUGAUUUAAAUCAUACUCGUUUCUACAAUAAUUAUUUAAAAGUAAUCCUAUAGCUCCCUCUGGUGGCCAUUAUAGGUACUAAGAAUUGCAAGCUUGAUUUAUAAGUUAUGAUAGUUUAAAUUUUAUGCUGGCUCUUGAAAGUGAUAAAGCUAUGAAACUUACUGUGCUUCCUUCAAAUGAUGACUUCUACGUAUAUAAAAAAUUAUGAAUAGUUGGAAUUAAACAUUUCAAAGAUAUAGUAAAAUAACUAUUGUAUUUUUUUAUGUUACUUUAAUAAAUCGCUAUGGCCACACCAUUUAAGGUAUCCUAAACCCAUUCGCAAUUUAACAUCUUCAGUAUAUGGCUUCAUGUUAAAACAGUUUGGUGUGAACUACUUGUGUCUUCUUGGAGGAGAAUUAAUUCAUUUACAGGCUGAGUUUAUCAUAAAUCCACAAUAACAUUUCUGAGUUCUGUAUCAAUCUGUGUUGUUGUUUGUUUAUUUUUAUUUUAUUUAUUUUUCAUAGGAAGAUAACUGACACUUUACUCUCCUUUUUAAUAAAUGUGCUUAUAAACCAAGAACAAGCUAUUUAUAGCUGUAUUUAUAAACUGCUUACUACUGACUAUUAAUAUUGGGACAAGGCUUUAUAAAGAAUGAACUGACUAUUUACUAAUGAGUGCAGUUAUUAUAAAGUGUUAUCAAUGCAUUUGCUAAUGUUUACAAAUUAGACAUUAUUUUACAGUGUUAUCAAAUCCCUUAAAUGAUUUGUAAGUGUUUUGUAAUGAUUUUAUUGACCUACAAGCAUUUGUGAAAGUUCUGCUUGCAUUACAGCUUAGUCUUGAUCUGUGAGCUGAACAGAUUUACUGUUACAUCCAUGAGAUUAUGUAAAUUCAAAUAAAUAUCAUGUCACAGGAUGUCAGAGGUCAGUAUCAAAUUAAUUUGAAAUUAUUAUUUGCAGCACAAAUAAGGUUUUUUAGGAUUUUUAAAAAUCCCUAAAACUGUCAGAAAAGGAUAAGGCCUAAGAUUUCUAUGUGAGUGGCUAAAUUUGUUUGUUUUUAUAACUAUAAUGCAUAAACUAUGAAACUAUACAAAAUGUAUAAAAAAAGUACAAGUUAUUCUUUUCCAAUGUUUUUUAUUUAUUUACAAUUUUUUUUUUUUUUUUUUUUUUUUUGGGAUUUACA